GUGAGGAAUUUUCCGCAAUGGGCGAAAGCCUGACGGAGCAAUGCCGCGUGAAGGAUGAUGGCCUAUGGGUUGUAAACUUCUUUUCUCAGAAAAGAAUUAUGACGGUAUCUGAGGAAUAAGCAUCGGCUAACUCUGUGCCAGCAGCCGCGGUAAGACAGAGGAUGCAAGCGUUAUCCGGAAUGAUUGGGCGUAAAGCGUCUGUAGGUUGUUUAAAAAGUAUUCUGUGAAAGAUUAGGGCUUAACCCUAGAUAGGCAGAAUAAACUUUUAAGCUAGAGUUUGGUAGGGGCAGAGGGAAUGCCCGGUGGAGCGGUGAAAUGCGUAGAUAUCGGUAGGAACACCAAAGGCGAAGGAACUCUGCUGGGCCAAUACUAACACUGAGAGACGAAAGCGAGGGGAGCAAAUGGGAUUAGAUACCCUUGUAGUCC
rnacentral:rRNA from 1 species